GAGGAAUCGGAGCCCUAUGGUACUCCCUCUCAAUAUGAUGCUAGGUUUAAUGGACCCAUCAAGAACAGAAGCUGCACGGACAUCAUCUGCUGCAUCAUCUUCCUGGUCUUCAUCUUGGGCUACAUGGUGGUGGGCAUCGUGGCAUGGCUGUACGGUGAUCCACGAGAGGUAAUCUACCCCAGGAACUCCACCGGCAUGUACUGUGGGGUCGGGGGGAA